rnacentral:rRNA from 1 species
UACGUAGGUGGCAAGCGUUUGUCCGGAAUUAUUGGGCGUAAAGCGCGCGCAGGCGGUCCUUUAAGUCUGAUGUGAAAGCCCACGGCUCAACCGUGGAGGGUCAUUGGAAACUGGAGGACUUGAGUACAGAAGAGGAAAGCGGAAUUCCACGUGUAGCGGUGAAAUGCGUAGAGAUGUGGAGGAACACCAGUGGCGAAGGCGGCUUUCUGGUCUGUAACUGACGCUGAGGCGCGAAAAGCGUGGGGAGCAAACAGG